rnacentral:lncRNA from 1 species
UGUAGUUUGACAAUUGAAGCUCAGUCAGUCCAAACAAAAAUGUAAGUUAUUUUUCUUGUACGUAUAACUUCUUAAGAAAUUAUUAUAAAUAUAGUCCUAGACAAAUAAUUAAUUUGACAAAAACAAAUGUUACCUGAUGAAUUUUAUUCUAGAAACAAAUUGAUGAGUUUACGACUUAGAAAAAUACAUGACAAAUAUUUCCAUUUUAGAGUAAUACAAAUACAUAAGUUUGCGAUAGUUUUGAGAUGGUUAUAAAUAUAUGCAGAUUGUAAACUUUAAAAAUGAUUUGGCUAAUCUCACAAUUUUUUAUUCGAGUCACUAAAUAUUCUUUUGUAGAAAAAACGCGCGUCUGGAGUUAAUAUAAAAUUUCAAUUCUGGAAUCUAUCAUGAGUUUAUUUACAAGCGCUAGGUCGAAGCCACGGCUGGUGGAGUUUUAAUUCCCCUAGGGUUUCACUAGCCCAGUGGUCAGCACGUCUGUGUUGACGUGAUUUAUCAUUGGUUAUAAAUUGAAUGUUAAGAGAACUUUAUAUUUUAAAUUACUAAGGCUUUUAUACCUCAGGAAUAGAUUACCUUAGCUGUGUAUGGCAAAACUUUUAGGAUUUUUUUAUCCUUAAUACUCUUCAACUUCGUACUUUAUUUGGCCUGUUUAACAUAUUUUAAUUGAGAGUCACGGAUGAGUCUUUUGUUGACGAAACGCGAGUCUGGCGUAAAUAUAAGAUUUUAAAACUGGUAUCUAUGAUGAGUUUGUUGCUUAUGUGUUAAUUUAUUCUAUACACCGCGGUCUCUUAUAACCCCCUAUAAGGGUAUAUCACAAGAAAUGUUGAUAUUUACAACAUGUAAAGACAUGAAAAACUAAAUGCAGCGGUUUGUAAAUAUACGUAACUGUCGUUAUCUGAAUACAUUUACUAAACAUUUGCAUACCUCUUCAAAACCGGAAUUUCGUGUAGUGUUGUAUACGAGCUUGCACAUAUAUUUAAGGAAUGACUGUAAUAUUUUUUCUGUCUAUGAAGAAAUACGCAUAAAAAAUAGGUGCACACUGACUAACGCGCGUAGCGGGUUAUUUAACAGUGUGCACCACUUUUUUAUGUUAUUUCGAAUAGACAGAAAAAAUAUUACAGUCAUUUCUUAUAAAUUAAUUCUGAAUUCCAUUUUAAACCGUAGAAAAGCAUGAAAAAACGUUUAUGACGUCACGGUUACAUGACUAAAUUAUGUCUAUAGGUUCAUAACAAAAUAACGUCAGCCUAUCAGAAGACGUGUUACAUCCAAAAUUAAAUUAUUCUAAAAUAACAUGUUUUAACAGUCAUAUGAAUUUCACAACAUAUACGAAUCAAAAAGCUCUACACAUUUUUUUCAUUUGUGUUUAGAUAACAUGCAAUCUCAAUGGCAAUGCAAUACUAUAUUGUACUUUUUUUCUAUUUCAGAAAGCUACUAAUAAUGAAGGCUAUAAUUAUAUUUAGCUGUCUGUUCAUGGCAGUAUGUGGUAAGAAUAUUAUGUUAAUACGUAUACCAAACUGUAAUACAAACAGUUUUUAGAAACAUAACACAAAGUAGUUACACGGUUAAUUUACAAUGUGUUCAUAUUAAGGUAUUAUUUAUUCUUUACAAAAGCAGUAGGGAUUAACACAUGUAUGAGUUAUAUGAUAAGACGUGAGUUCAUUUUUUUUGGUAAGAUUUUACAGAAUAACAAUUAGAAUUAUAUGGUUUGGAAAUGUUACUAAAUAUUUACUAAUGUGAGCAAUGUCAAUCACUAAAGCCCUGUGACACUCCAGAAGAGUUUUAGUGUGUGUUUUAAUGACAAAACAAAAUUACUACUCUUAAGCUGGGUCACACAUUCACGAUUUUUUACUGCCGUCUUGACAUGACCAUUCCCAAUUAAAGUUUGUCAAAAGUCUGAUCAAGAUCCUGUGAAUUGCGGAGAGAAACAUAAAUUUGAAUUAAAUUUUGUAAAACCAAUAAUUUAAUCACUACAACAAUCAGAUAUUUUUUUCAGGAAGCGUCGAUAUUCAACCGUUUCCAAGCGAAUAUAUCCUGAUAAUCCCGUUCUCAAUCCGCGUCUAAUCCAAUUUGUAUAUUUCGCCUGGUAAAAUUCGACCGAAUCUGUCACGACUGCAACCCGAUUGUACCAAAUGUAAUCCGACAAUUAUCACACAGUGACCAGACAGUUAACCGAUGCUGACGGAAAGUAUCCGUUCGUAAAACUGUCGGUAAAACUUGGGAUGAUCAGGUACUGUCGGAACGUAAUCCUAUCACGGUCCGCUCUAUCGCAUUGCAAACGGCUUUGUCUGGUCUCAGUCGUAUUGUAUUCUGUAAUUGUCUGGAAUCUGACGUGGGUAUCAUUGACAAAUUUCGUAUUAAUAACGGGACUGUUUCGGAACGGUUUGAGCAAAAACAGUCGCAAUCGACAAGAUUUUGAUGCAAUCUGGAUUCAAUCGGCAGAAAAACAGCAAUGAAAAAUUUCUCCAGAUCAUUCCCGUUCAACAGGACACCGUCCAGAAUACACAGAACAUUGUUAGGAUUUUGAUCCGAUACAGCAGAAUCUGUCACGACAUAGGCAUGAUUGUAUUACGACUACACAAAAUCGACUGAGUUUCCCCGAAUGUUACGGGACGCACAUAAUUGUCGGGUGCUUCGCCGAACUAUUCGGACUCUUCUCGACCCGUAGAAAUAUGUUACGAACUUAAACGACAGACAGACGUCUGACAAUGAUAGGACAUUCCAGAUAAUUGAGGAUAGUAAUCCGAUUUUUUUCACUUUUCGUGUCGUAUUGCUGUCUGAUCUCUAACGGGAGCAAUAAUCGGCAAUGUGUGAACCCCUCAUUACACAAAUGUCUGCAGAACUUUUAACUUGUUUUACAUUUUUAAAAAAAACUAAUACCAAAUACAUUUUUUUGUAAAAAUUUAAGGACUGAGUACUCGAAACGGAAAUGCAGAUCUUGAAGAAAUAAAUGGUGACAGUGAUGACUUCGCCAUUAAUUCCCUAAUGAAUUAUCUCAGGUAAUACCAAAGUUGUAUUAGUUUUUUAUUCUGCAUGUAUUACCAAUGUUAUUUCAACUGAUCGGGCGGAGGUUAUGUUUUAAUUUGCAUAACUACAGUCUAUUUGAAGAUGUGUGUGAUAAGGAUGAUUGCUGUUAUAAUUUUAACUGAUUUCUAAUCACCUAUCAGUGUCAUCAAAGGAAUUUACAAAACAAUGACUGGAUACUUCAUUGAUGAGUUUAUUCUAAAACACCUAUCAAUAGAUGGACAGGUUUAUUAUAAGCGAACCGGUUAAACUCCGCCCAAAUAAAUUGAGUAAUAUGAAGAAUUCAUAGCUGAGAUUUUUUUUAUAAGAUUUUAAAUCUGAUGCUUUAAACAAAAAUUAUGAAACUCUUCUUUAUGUUAUAUGUAUUUUUUUUUUUACAUUAAAAGCCUAAAAGAGAUAGAUUUUGUCUAGAUGGUAGUGUUUUACAAUGCUUUGGUUUCUCAACUCAAUAAAUAGAAAAUAAAUCGUUGUUAAAAAAAAAAAGAAUAUCUGACAUUGCUUCCGAGUAGGAUAUUUUCCUCGCAUUGACACUUUCUGCAAAACUUGUCAUUCAAUUUUAGGAAAAUUUUCCAGAAACAUAUAUAAAAUUGAUGUCCAUCUGGUAUCUUUUGCCCAUUCUUUUUUCAAGGAAAUUUAUUUGAUACUUUUCACUAAUUCUUAGUUGACUCUUUUAUACCCGGCCUAUGAACAUUACUAUUCUUAAUCUUUAUAAGGAAACGUGACUGGAACCUUGGAAGUGGGAACAACGGAAAUGGUAACAAUGGAAACUACAACAGCAACGUUGGUAAUUCGUAUGUAGAAAAUAAUAAAAAAACAAAAGUAGGAGAUAUAGGAAAUGUCGGAGACGUUGGAAGGAAAUGUGACUGGAACCUUGGAAGUGGAAACAACAGAAAUGAUAACAAUGGAAACGGCAACAGCAACGUUGGUAAUUCGUAUGUAGAAAAUAAUAAAAAAACAAAAGUGGGAGAUAUAGGAAAUGUCGGAGACGUUGGAAGGAAAUAUGACUGGAACCUUGGAAGUGGAAACAACAGAAAUGAUAACAAUGGAAACGGCAACAGCAACGUUGGUAAUUCAAAUAAAGAAAAUAACAAAGAAACACAUGUCGGCGAAAUAGAAAAUAUCAAAGGCCUUGGAAGUAAAUGUGACUGGAAUCUUAAUAGUGGAAACAACGGAAAUUUUAAUAAUACAUGCGCCAACAGCAGCAUUGGUCACUCGUAUGCAGAAAAUAAUAAAGAUACAAAAAUAGAAAGAAUAGGAAAUGCCAGGGGCUUUGGAAGGAAACUUGGCAAGAUUCUUGGAAGGCAACUUGGCUGGAUUCUUGGAAAGAAACUUGGCUGGAUUCUUAGAAAUGGAAACAACGAAAAUGGUAACAAGGUAAAUGACACUAGCGAUAUUGGUAAUUCGUAUGAAGAAAACAAUAAAGAUACACAAGAAGGAAGAAUAGGAAAUGCCAUAGGCCUUGAAAGGAAACUUGGCCAGAUUUUUGGAAGGAAACUUGGCUUGAUUCUUGGAAAGAAACUUGGCUUGAUACUAGGAAGUGGAAACAAAGAAAAUGGUAAAAAUGCAAACGAUAACAGCAACGUUCGUAAUUCAUAUGCAGAAAAUAAUAAAGAUACAAAAGUAGGAGGAAUAGAAAAUGUCAGAGGCCUUGGCAGGAAACUUGGCAAAAUUCUUGGAAGGGAACUUGGCUGGAUUCUUGGAAGUGGAAACAGCGGAAAUGGUAACAAGGCAAACGACGACAGGAACGUUGGUAAUUCAUUUGCAGGGAAUUAUAAAGAUACAAAUAUAAUAGGAACAGGAAAGGUCGGAGAAUAGAUCGAAAAAGAUAUAUAAGGUAAUGUGUUUCAAAAUAAUAAACUAUAUUUCGUAACAAAAACAACUGAGGGGUCGAAUAAAUCAAUCUGAUAUACAUAGUUCGCACAACAAAAAGACCCUCUUUUGUCUUAAUUUGCAUGAAUCUUACUCGACAUUCUCCAAAAGUAUGACUUGUGUCUUGAUUUUUCUUGACCAAUUCUCAUUUACAUUAAAUAUGUAUGAAAUUUAUUUCUCGACAUUCUGAGUAUGGUCUUGACAAAUUUUUGACAUUUGAAUACUGUCUUUAAAUAUGUGAAGAGAUUCUUGACAUUGUUGUUUUUUCUCAGUAUGGCUUGACAUAUUCUGAACAUUUUGAAUUUUGUCUUAAAUUUACUUGACAAUUCUCAGUUUUACAAAUCAUUACCGAAAAACAUAAUAUAACUUUAAUGUAUCUUUAUUUAAGAAUUGAAUGAUUUUUGUAACUUCAUUGGGGUGUAAAAGCGUUCACCGAAGUGCAUCUGUAUGAAGCUCAGAAGCGCUUCAUUCUAAAAAUGUGCGCACGGUCAACGCUUUUAAAACCUUAUGAAGUUACAAAAAGAAGCAUUCAAUACUUAUAAGUACAUUUGUUUAGCUAUGAUAAUGAAACACGAAUUUUAUAUUUUUUUAUUUAAUUCACCUGUGCACUUUAUUGUGGGACCGCGUGUUAUCAUGAAUGAUAAGUUUGAUUGAGUAAUGCAAUUGCUGAAGGAAUAACACGUGAUGUGCAGUUAGCCAAUCAGAAUAAAGUAUUACAAUGAAACAUACAUCUAAUGUAUCUUUAUUUUUCUUUAUAUGCUGUACUGUUGUUACAAUUGUUACAACAAAAACAAAACUUGGACAUAAAAAAUAAGUGAAUUUUUUUGUAUAUAAAUAAUUAUAACCGAACAAAUAUAGAUAUGAAAUCUAACAUAUUAACUAUUUAGAUGUGGAUAUACUGAUAUAAAACAAUUUAAAUGUGGAUAUGCUGAUAUAAAACAAUUUAAAUGUGGAUAUGCUGAUAUAAAACAAUUUAAAUGUAGGUUUUUAAAUAAAUGAAAAUGUGUAUUCCUGAUUCUGAUAAAUAAUUUCUAAAUGAUUAAAACCAAUGACACUGUAGACAUAUUUCCUUUUACAUGCAUCAUAUUAAAUGUUAAAGGUAAACAACUAUUUUACCAAAAUGUGUUUUUCAUAAAUAGCAAAGUAUUCUAAUAAAAAAAAUUGUAUCCUAAUUCUUCUUGAUUGAAAAUUUGUGUAAUUUCAUCUUUUGCAAUAUAUAUGAAGUCUUACACGUGGAAAGGAUGUUCCCCAUAAAAGUAAAGUAUUCCACACCCCAUGGUACACGCAACUGUCAUAUUGGAAAUUGCUGGUUUACCUGUAAUCAGCCAUGCAACUGACCAAAUUCAGUUGACUGACCAAAUCACUGCAAUAUGAAAAAUUUGUUGAUAGAUGAAAAUAAAAAUUAUCAUUUAAAUAAUGAAUUAAAAACGAUUUUCUUCAUCAAAAUUAUGAAGUGAAAUAUUUAAACAUUAACAAAUUAUUAUCUUCUGCAGGAAUAAUAGAAAACUGUAUAUAUAUAAAGGGUCCCAUCAAUGAUUUGAUCCUAUGAAAUGGAUCUUAAACAGACAUGCAUAAUAUAGAUCUUAACAUUUUUUUUGUUUGAAGAAAUCUUGAGAAAUAAAAUCAGGAAGGAAUUAUACAAAGAUUUAGUUGUGAAUAAAUAUUAUGAAAUUCAACACUCAAUUUUGAAAAAAAAACAUGUUUUUGGUUGUUCUAAAAAAAUGAAUAAGAUUUAGAAUCUAGAUGGGAACAAAUUCUUUGUCCCAAACGAAAGCCCCCCCCUUUCCUUUUUUUAGCCACACAUGCCCAAAAUGAAUUGUAGGGUCCAAAGGAUAAUCACUUUUUGAAAAGAGGAACAAAAUACACCAGAGGGACAUUCAAACUCAUAAAUCGAAAAUAAACUGACAACGUCUGGCUAAACAUGAAAAAGUAUAACAGACAAACAAUAUGCACAUGACACAGCAUCGAAAACUAAAGAAUAAGCAACACCAACCCCUCUAAAAAUCAGGGGUGAUCUCAGGUGUUUAGAAGGGUAAGCAAUUUCUGCUCCACAUGUAGCACCCGUCGUGUGGCUCAUGUUAUAACAUAUCCAGUAAAUAGUCUUAAUCGGUAGGUCACAUUCAUUAAAGAGAAGGGGGUUGUAGUGAAACGCUUAUUCCAUAACGGUCUACUAACUCGUGAUGGCGUCCGUAAAAUUUACCAAGAGUUCCAAACGGUGGAGUUGAACUCUUGGUUUAAUAGCGUCCUUAUGAGCAGCAACCCUCUAUCACGAAAAUCAUCAUAGGAAAUACAAGCACGGAAAAAUCGUAUCAAUUGGGAGAUAUAUACCUCGUAUGCAGUUGCUGCUGGAAUGUUGCUACUUGGAAAUGGAAAGUUCACAAUUGGAAAGCUGAAAUCAUCUCUUUUGUCGUGAAGUUUUGUUAUCAACCGACCCUCAUUGUCAAUUUCUAAAUGUAACAUGCCUCAAGUAACCCAUUUUAGUAAAGCAAAUUUGACUGCCAGUUUUUCGAACGGCAAAAAAUAUAAAUGCUGUUUGUCAGUAGCUGUGACAUAUAUUCCAGGUGAAAACAAUUUAUUAAAAGUGAAAUAAAAAAUAAAUCAAAAUACAACUAAAUUGGGGGUAAUUCGGGUAUUUCUACUUAGGUGUACCCAAAGGGUAUUUUAUUAUACAAAAAUAAUCCUUGAUUCUUCAAAGUUUAGUUUUAACGAUUAAUAAAAAUAAGCAUAUAGUAACAGCAAUAGAAAGUCAUAAACAGGGAAGAAUGUGUUUGUUCAAUUUAUACUGUUGAGAUAGUGUCCACAGAUGUUUAAGACUGUCAACAAUGUGUCAAGAUACAUGUAUACAUUUGUAUUCAGACAGCUCUAAGACUGUCAAGGCAUAUUCAGACACUACUUAGAAUGUCAAGAAUAUGUCAAGUCAUAUUCAGACAGUACCAAGAAAGUCAAGAAUAUGUCAUGACUGAUUGAGACACAUUUAACACAGUCAAGAAUUGGUCGUCAAGGCACUUGUCAAGAAAGACAAACAAUAGUCUCCAAUACAAUACAAAUUAACUUAAAAACUUCAUAAAACGAACCGUUUUAGUUUUUGUUGUUGCUGUGACAUUACUUGUUCGUUCUCGACAAAAAUGCAUAAAAAAAAUAAAAUCCAUAAAAUUUUAAACUCCGAGGAAAAUUCAAAUUGGAAAGUCCCUAACCAAAUAGCAAAAUCAAAAAAUGAAACACUUUAAACAUGUCAAACGAAUGGACAACAACUAUAAUAUUCCUGAGCUGGUACCGGCAUUCAGGUAUGUAGAAAAUAGUAGACUGAACCUGGUUCCAUGGCGCUCAACCUCUCAUUUAUAUGACAGUCUCAUCGAAUUCCACUAUAUUGACAACGAUGCGUAAACAAAACAGUUACAAUAGAUUUAUAUUUUUUUCUUGUUUUGCUAUGGCGUUGCCAGUUUACUGUCGAUUGAUAAGUUUGAAUCUUCAGUCGGUAUAUUUUGACUCUAUUGUUGAGUUUUCAAGCUAUUUUUUGUUUUGAUUACAUACGACUUGUUCAGUCUUUGUUCAGUCAUUUCAGUAGUUUUACCUAUAAACACAACGCAACACUUAUGGGUCUAAAGUAUAGGGAACACUUCUUGAUUGCCUGCUAGGAAAUGCAUGAACAGUACUGUGUCAACAACAAGAAAAUAUCUACAAAAUACUUUCAAAUCGUAACAAGACUAUAUGCUUUAGGUUUCAGUCUUUUCAGGUUUGAUGUAAAAACCAAAAAGAGUUAAAUUAAUUUACUGUAUAAAUUAUAGAUUAUCCAUGUUAAGUUGAUCAUGGAUACCAAAAUGUGGUACAAUAUUGUUUUGUUAAAAUAUAAGAAAAUGUUAUCAAACUUUAAACCAGACUAAAUCGUUCAUAUUCAUAAUGCAUACUACAUAUUGUUAACUAAAGAUUAAAUCAGAAAAACAAUUGUUUAGUUAGUGAAUAUGAUUACAUUUAAACAUUUUGUAAAAACUUAAAAUAGAAUAUUGAAAUGAUACUUAGAUAUUCUAUCUAAUUGUUUUGUGUUUUACAGGAAAAGAAAAGAAUUCAGGACAUGUAACACCAGUCAUCACUUCUUUGUGCUGGCGAUUCAAAUAUAUCACAUAUAACCGAACAGUGUACUCGUUCUUUAUAUACUUUCUUUUCACUUUGUUGUUUGCAAGUAGAAUAUGAUUAACAAUUUCAAUGUACAAUAAUUUCACCAUAUGUAGAUAUUCUAACAAAAACAAUAUUUAGUUUCUUUGUUAUUAAUGUGUAUGUUUUCGGCAAAUAACUAAUCCAUGUAAGUGUUGGUUUUGCUCUAAUUGCUUUUUCUUCAAAUAUAAUACUACUUAAUUUUCAACACAUGUUCAAUGUUUUUACGACGUGUGAUUGCGUCUAGUCCUCAUUCAAACAAUAGUCACUUCCCCGAUCAAAAAGGUAUUGAGCCUGAUGCUUGAAAUUAGAUUUAGAUUUCAGAGAUUACUAUAAAACAUUUUUUAAAAGGCAAUUAAAAAAAGGCAGCUGCAAUCCAUUGUUUACGUUAUUUGAAUUUGUAAGAACUGUCAUUAUUGAUAUAAGUAAUUGAUAAUAAUUAGCGAAUAAUUGAUUUUAUGAAAUAGCACAUAUCAAUUCGCUUAGUGAAACGGUAUAUUCUGUGUGAAUCUCAGUUUUAUCAUAUUAUCAGCCUGGUAACUUUGAUAGUGAUUCAUAUCGUAAGCAAUGAUGUAUUGCCUCUAGAUUCCAUCUGAAUACAACAUUGUUAUUUUUUAAAUAAAAGAUGUCCGCGAAAUAAAAGAGAAAGGUUUCCGUUUUGAAUGUAUCUAAAAAUAGAUUUUUCAGAUCUUAAACUAAUGUCAUGUUUGUUUGACUUUUCUCUUACAAUUCUUUCAC